UACAGAGGUCCCAAGCGUUGUUCGGAUUCAUUGGGCGUAAAGGGUGCGUAGGUGGCGUCGUAAGUCGGGUGUGAAAUUUCGGAGCUCAACUCCGAAACUGCAUUCGAUACUGCGGUGCUUGAGGACUGGAGAGGAGACUGGAAUUUACGGUGUAGCAGUGAAAUGUGUAGAGAUCGUAAGGAAGACCAGUGGCGAAGGCGGGUCUCUGGACAGUUCCUGACGCUGAGGCGCGAAAGCUGGGGGAGCAAACGGG
rnacentral:rRNA from 1 species